rnacentral:tRNA from 1 species
GGGGACGUAGCUCAAUAGGGAGAGCGCCUGCUUUGCACGCAGGAGGUCACCGGUUCGAGCCCGGUCGUCUCCA